AUAUGGAUGAUACGAUUGACCUAUCAGAGGCUUAUGUGACAGACUCCACAUGGACCAUUUCAUUACCGUCAGACAGUCCUAUGAUGGGACAUCAUGACUCCCGCAGCACUCCCACUCAUACUCCUGAUUCCGAUGGUACCCGAGGAGGGACAGGAACACGAAAACGAUCACGCCCUCCUCGUCCUUGUGAUGUAAUGGGGACCUCUCUGCAGACCAUUGUCGACUCAAUGAUGAAAUUUGGGCUUGGCAAAGAGGUCAAUCGCACAAGCAAGGUACUUGAUGUGUUGGAAGAGGUGAAAGGCCUGCCUAGCUCUGAAUUUCUCGAAGUUGGUCGGAUCCUGAGUAAUGACAAGUCACUGGCGUCAUUCUUUGUCAGUCUCCGACCCGAGCGUCGAAUGGAGUGGUUAAAGAAAACACUCUGUGAUCACUUUGGUGAUGGAGGUGUUGGAUCUAUCUGACAGGGUCUGGUCACUACGUUUCUUAUGGUUUUUUCUUUAUCUAGGCAUGUAGUAACUUAUAUUGUUGUGAUGUUGUUUAUUUUUUUUUGGAUAAUUUUUGGAUGUUGAUGUACUAUUAUAUAUGCGUAUUGUAUACCGUAUGUGACUAAUGUGGUCUUUGACUAUACAUGUUUUAUUAACAUCUUCGGUAUAUAUACUCACAUGCUUGCAUAAUGCUCUGAAAGAAGGAACAGACCACACACUUGAUUUACCAGAGGACGGUACGUAUAUACAAGUUUUAUAACUCUUGUAAAGGAUUAGUAAGGGAUAGUUGGAUUCCUUAGGAUCACUAUGCAUCAUUUCGCAAUCCUAAUUCGAUUUUCAUAUAUGUCGUUCAUAAUCCCCACAUGUCAUUAUAGAUGGGUAAAGAUAAGUACUAUGUUAUGCUCGUUGGACAUCAUCUGGAAAUAUAUGUCACAUGGGACAAUGCUUGAGUAGAGGUAGAGGGAUUUAGUGGGGGUAAACACCGAGCCUUUUGGAAUUGGAAGGAGGUUGUGGCUUGCUGGGAAAAUUAUUUUUGUGUCCCAGACUAACAAGGAAGUGGUGGAGAAGUCCACAUUAACUAAUGAUCUUGCCCCAUCGGAUGGGAAGAGAGUCGUCGCCAUUUUGGUUGGCAUGUUGGUUAUUUUCUUUGCGUUGCUUAUAAUUUUGAAAUUUUAGAUAGUAUUGGUGUUAUAACUUUGAGGAUAUUUCUGUUGGA